rnacentral:misc_RNA from 1 species
UUCCCACCCAAAAAGAAGAAGAUAAAUAAUUAAACAUAACACUCAUCAUGUCUAGUUCCUACCUCCCCUCCACCGUAGCAGCCACCACCCCACGAUCUUCUUCUUCUUCUUCUUCUUCUUCCUCCUCCCCCAUCCGCCCCCGUUCCCAACUUUUCUCCGGUGUUUGGUUGUACGGAGCUAAAGACAAACGAGGUAACGCUGACAUUCGCCCAAGAUGCAGUGCUAUAUCGAAGCCUCGUACUCAAGAAUACCCCGAUGUCUAUCAAAAAAAUGGAUCGCCAGUUAUAAAGUGGCAUGAGAUUGUGGAGGAUGACAUAGAGAAGCAAGUUUCUAAGGUAUCUAUAUCACAUGAGAAAAUCAAACACAUUCAAACCAUUAAAUCCAUGUUGAAUUCCAUGGAAGAUGGAGAGAUAAGCAUUUCAGCUUAUGACACUGCAUGGGUUGCUCUUGUUGAAGAUGUUAACGGGAGUGGCGCUCCUCAAUUCCCAUCUAGCCUUGAAUGGAUAGCCAAUAAUCAGCUCCCAGAUGGUUCAUGGGGUGAUGCUGAUAUUUUUACCGCGCAUGACAGGAUAAUCAAUACACUAGCUUGUGUUAUUGCGUUGAAGUCAUGGAAUAUACAUCCAGACAAGUGUGAGAAAGGAAUGAAAUAUUUUAAAGAGAACUUGUGUAAGCUUGAAGAUGAGAAUGCUGAGCACAUGCCCAUCGGCUUUGAAGUUGCUUUCCCUUCACUUCUAGAACUAGCGCGAAAGUUAGACAUUGAAGUUCCCGAGGAUUCUCCUGUCCUGCAAGAGAUCAAUGCCAGCAGAAAUCUGAAGCUCACUAAGAUUCCAAAAGACAUAAUGCACAAAGUGCCCACCACACUACUCCAUAGCUUGGAAGGAAUGCCAGGCCUAGAGUGGGACAAGCUUCUGAAAUUGCAGUGCCAAGAUGGGUCAUUCUUGUUCUCUCCAUCCUCCACUGCCUUCGCACUCAUGCAAACUAAAGAUGAAAAUUGCUUGGCAUAUUUAAACAAGAUAGUCCAACGAUUUAAAGGAGGAGUACCAAAUGUGUACCCGGUUGACCUAUUCGAGCACAUCUGGGCUGUGGAUCGCUUGCAACGCCUUGGAAUUUCAAGAUACUUCGAGCAAGAGCUUAAAGAAUGCGUUGACUAUGUUG